rnacentral:rRNA from 1 species
UCGACGGCAGCACGGGAGCAAUCCUGGUGGCGAGUGGCGAACGGGUGAGUAAUGUAUCGGAACGUACCUUUCAGUGGGGGGUAACGUAGCGAAAGUUACGCUAAUACCGCAUAUUCUGUGAGCAGGAAAGCAGGGGAUCGCAAGACCUUGCGCUGAUUGAGCGGCCGAUAUCAGAUUAGCUAGUUGGUGAGGUAAAGGCUCACCAAGGCGACGAUCUGUAGCGGGUCUGGGAGGAUGAUCCGCCACACUGGAACUGAGACACGGUCCAGACUCCUACGGGAGGCAGCAGUGGGGAAUUUUGGACAAUGGGCGCAAGCCUGAUCCAGCCAUGCCGCGUGAGUGAAGAAGGCCUUCGGGUUGUAAAGCUCUUUCGGCCGGGAAGAAAUCGCAUGGGUUAAUACCCUGUGCGGAUGACGGUACCGGCAUAAGAAGCACCGGCUAACUACGUGCCAGCAGCCGCGGUAAUACGUAGGGUGCGAGCGUUAAUCGGAAUUACUGGGCGUAAAGCGUGCGCAGGCGGUUUGUUAAGAUAGGCGUGAAAUCCCCGGGCUCAACCUGGGAACUGCGCUUAUGACUGGCAAGCUAGAGUACGGCAGAGGGGGGUGGAAUUCCACGUGUAGCAGUGAAAUGCGUAGAGAUGUGGAGGAACACCAAUGGCGAAGGCAGCCCCCUGGGUCGAUACUGACGCUCAUGCACGAAAGCGUGGGUAGCAAACAGGAUUAGAUACCCUGGUAGUCCACGCCCUAAACGAUGUCAACUAGGUGUUGGAUGGGUAAAACCAUUUAGUACCGGAGCUAACGCGUGAAGUU